GACGAACGCUGGCGGCGUGCUUAACACAUGCAAGUCGAACGGAAAGGCCCUGCUUUUGUGGGGUGCUCGAGUGGCGAACGGGUGAGUAACACGUGAGUAACCUGCCCUUGACUUUGGGAUAACUUCAGGAAACUGGGGCUAAUACCGGAUAGGAGCUCCUGCUGCAUGGUGGGGGUUGGAAAGUUUCGGCGGUUGGGGAUGGACUCGCGGCUUAUCAGCUUGUUGGUGGGGUAGUGGCUUACCAAGGCUUUGACGGGUAGCCGGCCUGAGAGGGUGACCGGCCACAUUGGGACUGAGAUACGGCCCAGACUCCUACGGGAGGCAGCAGUGGGGAAUAAUGCAUAAUGGGCGGAAGCCUGAUGCAGCAACGCCGCGUGCGGGAUGACGGCCUUCGUGUUGUAAACCGCUUGCGCCUGUGACGAAGCGUGAGUGACGGUAAUGGGUAAAGAAGCACCGGCUAACUACGUG
rnacentral:rRNA from 1 species